rnacentral:rRNA from 1 species
UGGGGAAUCUUGCGCAAUGGGCGAAAGCCUGACGCAGCCAUGCCGCGUGAAUGAUGAAGGUCUUAGGAUUGUAAAAUUCUUUCGCCGGGGACGAUAAUGACGGUACCCGGAGAAGAAGCCCCGGCUAACUUCGUGCCAGCAGCCGCGGUAAUACGAAGGGGGCUAGCGUUGCUCGGAAUUACUGGGCGUAAAGGGAGCGUAGGCGGACUGUUUAGUCAGAGGUGAAAGCCCAGGGCUCAACCUUGGAAUUGCCUUUGAUACUGGCAGUCUUGAGUACGGAAGAGGUAUGUGGAACUCCGAGUGUAGAGGUGAAAUUCGUAGAUAUUCGGAAGAACACCAGUGGCGAAGGCGACAUACUGGUCCGUUACUGACGCUGAGGCUCGAAAGCGUGGGGAGCAAACAGGAUUAGAUACCCUGGUAGUCCACGCCGUAAACGAUGAGUGCUAGUUGUCGGCAUGCAUGCAUGUCGGUGACGCAGCUAACGCAUUAAGCACUCCGCCUGGGGAGUACGGUCGCAAGAUUA